rnacentral:rRNA from 1 species
GCAUGUCUCAGUAUAAGCUUCUAUACGGCGAAACUGCGAAUGGCUCAUUAAAACAGUUAUAGUUUAUUUGGUGGUCAGCAAUUACAUGGAUAACCGUGGUAAUUCUAGAGCUAAUACAUGCGCCCAAACCCGACUUCGUGGAAGGGUUGUGUUUAUUAGAUACAGAACCAACCCAGGCUCCGCCUGGCCUUGAGGUGAUUCAUAAUAACCGAACGAAUCGCAUGGCUAUGCCGGCGAUAGACCAUUCAAGUUUCUGACCUAUCAGCUAUCGUCGGUAGGGUAUUGGCCUACCGUGGCAAUGACGGGUAACGGAGAAUUAGGGUUCGAUUCCGGAGAGGGAGCCUGAGAAACGGCUACCACAUCUAAGGAAGGCAGCAGGCGCGCAAAUUACCCAAUCCUGACGCAGGGAGGUAGUGACAAGAAAUAACAAUACAGGGCAUACAUGUCUUGUAAUUGGAAUGAGUAAACUUUAAAUCACUUUACGAGUAUCAAUUGGAGGGCAAGUCUGGUGCCAGCAGCCGCGGUAAUUCCAGCUCCAAUAGCGUAUAUUAAAGUUGUUGCGGUUAAAAAGCUCGUAGUUGGAUUUCUGCUGAGGACGACCGGUCCGCCCUCCGGGUGAGCAUCUGGUUCGGCCUUGGCAUCUUCUUGGUGAACGUAUCUGCACUUGACUGUGUGGUGCGGUACCCAGGACUUUUACUUUGAGGAAAUUAGAGUGUUUCAAGCAGGCAUACGCCUUGAAUACAUUAGCAUGGAAUAAUAAGAUAGGACCUCGGUUCUAUUUUGUUGGUUUCUAGAGCUG